UGCAGUCGAGGGGUAACAGGGGAGCUUGCUCUCGCUGACGACCGGCGCACGGGUGAGUAACGCGUAUGCAACCUACCCAUAACUGGGGCAUAGCUUCCGGAAACGGAAAUUAAUACCCCAUAGUAUUAUAAUAUCGCAUGAUAUAAUAAUUAAAGUUCCGACGGUUAUGGAUGGGCAUGCGUGCCAUUAGCUAGUUGGUGAGGUAACGGCUCACCAAGGCUAUGAUGGCUAGGGGGUCUUAAAGGAUGGUCCCCCACACUGGUACUGAGACACGGACCAGACUCCUACGGGAGGCAGCAGUGAGGAAUAUUGGUCAAUGGGCGCAAGCCUGAACCAGCCAUGCCGCGUGCAGGAAGACGGCCCUAUGGGUUGUAAACUGCUUUUAUAUGGGAAGAAAACGUUCUACGUGUAGGGCAUUGACGGUACCAUAAGAAUAAGCAUCGGCUAACUCCGUGCCAGCAGCCGCGGUAAUACGGAGGAUGCAAGCGUUAUCCGGAUUUAUUAGGUUUAAAGGAUGUGUAGGCGGGACUCUAAGUCAGUGGUGAAAUCUUUCGGCUCAACCGGAAAACUGCCAUUGAUACUGGAGUUCUUGAGUAUAGUUGAGGUAGGCGGAAUGUGUAAUGUAGCGGUGAAAUGCUUAGAUAUUACACAGAACACCGAUUGCGAAAGGCAGCUUACUAAGCUAUUACUGACGCUGA
rnacentral:rRNA from 1 species